CCCUUAGACGUUCUGGGCCGCACGCGCGCUACACUGACGAAGGCAACGAGCUUUCCUUUACCGAAAGGUACGGGUAAUCUUUUGAAACUUCGUCGUGCUGGGGAUAGAUCCUUGCAAUUUUUGAUCUUAAACGAGGAAUGCCUAGUAUGCGCAAGUCAUCAACUUGCGUUGAUUACGUCCCUGCCCUUUGUACACACCGCCUGUCGCUACUACCGAUUGAAUGGUUUAGUGAGGCCUUCGGAUCCGCGACUCGUUUGUGGAGAAGUUGGACAAACUCAGUCAUUUAGAGGAAGUAAAAGUCGUAACA
rnacentral:rRNA from 1 species